UCAUCUGAUCCUCCUGCCUCAGCCUCCCAAAGUGCUGGGAUAAGAGGUGUGAGGCACCAUCCCCGGCCAGUUUGCAGUCUAAUAGAGACGGGGUUUCACCGUGUUAGCCAGGAUGGUCUCCAUCUCCUGACCUCGUGAUCGCCCGCCUCGGCCUCCCAAAGUGCUGGGAAUACAGAUAGAUAGGGUCUCACUCUCACUCUGGAGUGAGUGGUGCAACCACAGCUUAGUGCAGCCUCGACCUUCAGGCUCAAGUGAUCCUCCUUCCUUGGCCUCCCAAAGUACUGGGAUUACAGGUGUGAGCCAUCGUGCCCAGCCCAUAUGGUCUUGCUCUGUUGCCCAGGUUGGAGUACAGUGGCAGGAUCACAGCCCAUUGUAGCAUCAGCUUAUCUUGCUCAAGUGAUCCUCCUCCUUCAGCCUCCUGAGUAGCUGGACUACAGAAUGUGUGAAUGACAACUACUGGUUUGGGAGGGACAAAAGCUGUGAAUAUUGCUUUGAUGAACCACUGCUGAAAAGAACAGAUAAAUACCGAACAUACAGCAAGAAACACUUUCGGAUUUUCAGGGAAGUGGGUCCUAAAAACUCUUACAUUGCAUACAUAGAAGAUCACAGUGGCAAUGGAACCUUUGUAAAUACAGAGCUUGUAGGGAAAGGAAAACGCCGUCCUUUGAAUAACAAUUCUGAAAUUGCACUGUCACUAAGCAGAAAUAAAGGUAAUAUUAUUA
rnacentral:lncRNA from 10 species